rnacentral:rRNA from 1 species
AAGCGGCAAAAGCUCAAAUUUGAAAUCUGGCACCUUCGGUGUCCGAGUUGUAAUUUGAAGAUUGUAACCUUGGGGUUGGCUCUUGUCUAUGUUUCUUGGAACAGGACGUCACAGAGGGUGAGAAUCCCGUGCGAUGAGAUGCCCAAUCCUAUGUAAGGUGCUUUCGAAGAGUCGAGUUGUUUGGGAAUGCAGCUCUAAGUGGGUGGUAAAUUCCAUCUAAAGCUAAAUAUUGGCGAGAGACCGAUAGCGAACAAGUACAGUGAUGGAAAGAUGAAAAGAACUUUGAAAAGAGAGUGAAAAAGUACGUGAAAUUGUUGAAAGGGAAGGGUUUGAGAUCAGACUCGAUAUUUUGUGAGCCUUGCCUUCGUGGCGGGGUGACCCGCAGCUUAUCGGGCCAGCAUCGGUUUGGGCGGUAGGAUAAUGGCGUAGGAAUGUGACUUUGCUUCGGUGAAGUGUUAUAGCCUGCGUUGAUGCUGCCUGCCUAGACCGAGGACUGCGAUUUUAUCAAGGAUGCUGGCAUAAUGAUCCCAAACCGCCCGUCUUGAAACACGGACCA